rnacentral:rRNA from 1 species
AUGAACGCUGGCGGCGUGCUUAACACAUGCAAGUCGAACGAAGCACUUAUGACAGAUUCUUCGGAUGAUGAAUUAAGUGACUGAGUGGCGGACGGGUGAGUAACGCGUGGGUAACCUGCCUCAUACAGGGGGAUAACAGUUAGAAAUGACUGCUAAUACCGCAUAAGCGCACAGUACCGCAUGGUACAGUGUGAAAAACUCCGGUGGUAUGAGAUGGACCCGCGUCUGAUUAGCUAGUUGGUGGGUAACGGCCCACCAAGGCGACGAUCAGUAGCCGACCUGAGAGGGUGACCGGCCACAUUGGGACUGAGACACGGCCCAAAACUCCUACGGGAGGCAGCAGUGGGGAAUAUUGCACAAUGGGCGAAAGCCUGAUGCAGCGACGCCGCGUGAGCGAAGAAGUAUUUCGGUAUGUAAAGCUCUAUCAGCAGGGAAGAAAAUGACGGUACCUGACUAAGAAGCACCGGCUAAUACGUG